GGGCCUUUAGCUCAGUUGGGAGAGCGCUUGCUUCGCAUGCAAGAGGUCGUCGGUUCAAAUCCGGUAAGGUCCA
rfam:Lactobacillus bifermentans DSM 20003 NODE_76, whole genome shotgun sequence.